UGCAGUCGAGGGGUAACAUUUGUGCUUGNACAAGAUGACNACNGGNGCACGGGNGCGCACCGCGUAUGGAACCUGNCUUGUACAGGGGAAUAGCCCAGGGAAACUUGGAUUAAUGCCCCGUANUACCGUGACCCGGCAUCGGGAUACGGUUAAAGCCUUCGGGCGGUACAAGAUGGCCAUGCGUCCCAUUAGNUAGUUGGUAAGGUAACGGCUUACCNAGGCUACNAUGGGUAGGGGCCCUGANAGGGGGAUCCCCCNCNCNGGUACUGAGACACNGACCANACUCCUACGGGAGGNAGCANUGAGGAAUAUUGGACAAUGGAGGANACUCUGAUCNANCCNUGCNGCGUGNAGGAAGAAUGCCCUAUGGGUAGUAAACUGNUUUUAUACGGGAAGAAAAAGAGCUACGUGUAGCUUACUGACGGUACCGUAAGAAUAAUGACUCGGCUAACUCCGUGCCAGCAGCCGCGGUAAUACNGAGNNGGUCCGAGCGUUAUCCGGAAUUAUNGGGUUUAAAGGGUCCGUAGGCGGGCCGAUAAGUCAGGGGUGAAAGUCUGCCGCUCAACGGUAGAACUGCCUUUGAUACUGUCNGNUCUUGAGUUAUAGUGAAGUUGCCGGAAUAUGUAGUGUAGCGGUGAAAUGCAUAGAUAUUACAUAGAACACCGAUUGCGAAGGCAGGUGACUAACUAUAUACUGACGCUGAUGGACGAAAGCGUGGGGAGCGAACAGGAUUAGAUACCCUGGUAGUCCACGCCGUAAACGAUGGAUACUAGCUGUCCGGAGNCNUUGAGUUCUGGGCGGCCAAGCGAAAGUGAUAAGUAUCCCACCUGGGGAGUACGUUCGCAAGAAUGAAACUCAAAGGAAUUGACNGGNGGNCCNGCACAAGCGGUGGAGCAUGUGGNUUUAAUUCGAUGAUACGCGAGGAACCUUACCAGGGCUUAAAUGCAUAUUGACAGGUCUAGAGAUAGAUUUUCCUUCGGGCAAUUUGCAAGNUGNUGCANUGGUUGUCGUCAGCUCGUGCCGUGAGGUGUCAGGNUAAGUCCUAUAACGAGCGCAACCCCUACCGUUAGUNGCCAGCAUGUCCUGAUGGGGACUCUAACGGGACNNCCGGUGCAAACCGUGAGGAAGGUGGGGANGACGUCAAAUCAUCACGGCCCUUACGUCCUGGGCCACACNCNUGNUACANUGGCAGGUACAGAGAGCAGCCACGUNGCAAGGCGGAGCGAAUCUAUANAACCUGUCACAGUUNGGNUCGGGGUNUGCAACUCGACCCCGNGAAGCNGGAAUCGCUAGUAAUCGGAUAUCAGCCAUGAUCCGGUGANUACGUUCCCGGNCCUNGUACACACCGCCCNUCAAGCCANGGAANCCNGGAGUGCCUGAAGUCCGUCACCGUAAGAGCGG
rnacentral:rRNA from 1 species